AUGCUCGCUUAGGCAGCACAUAUACGGAAACUGGAACAAUACAGAAAAGAUUAGCAUAGCCCCUGCACAAGCAUGACACACAAAUUCAUGAAGCAUUCCAUAUUUUU
ensembl:snRNA U6 U6 spliceosomal RNA